rnacentral:misc_RNA from 1 species
GGAAGUAAAAGUGUAACAAGGUCUCCGUUGGUGAACCAGCGGAGGGAUCAUUACCGAGUUUACAACUCCCAAACCCAAUGUGAACCAUACCAAACUGUUGCCUCGGCGGGGUCACGCCCCGGGUGCGUCGCAGCCCCGGAACCAGGCGCCCGCCGGAGGGACCAACCAAACUCUUUCUGUAGUCCCCUCGCGGGCGUUAUUUUUACAGCUCUGAGCAAAAAUUCAAAAUGAAUCAAAACUUUCAACAACGGAUCUCUUGGUUCUG